rnacentral:rRNA from 1 species
UGGGGAAUAUUGGACAAUGGGCGAAAGCCUGAUCCAGCCAUGCCGCGUGUGUGAAGAAGGUCUUCGGAUUGUAAAGCACUUUAAGUUGGGAGGAAGGGCAGUAACCUAAUACGUUUCUGUCUUGACGUUACCGACAGAAUAAGCACCGGCUAACUCUGUGCCAGCAGCCGCGGUAAUACAGAGGGUGCAAGCGUUAAUCGGAAUUACUGGGCGUAAAGCGCGCGUAGGUGGUUUGUUAAGUUGGAUGUGAAAUCCCCGGGCUCAACCUGGGAACUGCAUUCAAAACUGACAAGCUAGAGUAUGGUAGAGGGUGGUGGAAUUUCCUGUGUAGCGGUGAAAUGCGUAGAUAUAGGAAGGAACACCAGUGGCGAAGGCGACCACCUGGACUGAUACUGACACUGAGGUGCGAAAGCGUGGGGAGCAAACAGGAUUAGAUACCCCUGUAGUCCCUGAGCGGGCUGGCAAGGCGCAU